ACUAUUUAGGAUUAAGUUGAAUGUCUACCACGGUGGCGGAUAGUCAUGAGAAACAGGUUGAAAACGGUCAGAGACAAUUUGCCAGAACACUGCUGGUAUACUAUCAAAUUUGCCAGAACGCAGCUGGUACACUUUAUAAGAUUUGUGGUUUUGUGUUGUGUAGUAUGUAGUACAGAAAAUUUCAUAGUUAGAGCUCGCCUCUAACGAUAAGAAUUCAUGAUAGGACCCGUCUCGGACCGACUUUGUGGGAAGUUGAAAGAAUUUUUCGUGAGUCAACUAGUCUUCGACUCACGAAAAAUUCUGCCGCUGUGGUAAUGCUGUGUUACGUUUAAUCUGUGUCAAUAUAAGAAGCAUCAGUUAGAAACACAUAAGUCCCUCAUAACGCAACUGUUAUACAAAUCGCCAAACAAAACAUCUCAUCCGUCCACCCCUCGGCACUACACGAAACGCAAGCAAACGCAAAAACACCAACACCGCCGCAGCGCGAUUGCUUUUCCCGAGACUCUUCCGGUCGGCUUUGUCUUCGCUCAUUCGUGUCAGCCGUAGCUAGUGCAGGGUGUCGAGACAGCAGCACCAAAGAAAAUCGACACGGGAGCGGACCGAUAACAGCAGAGCAAACAUCGGGGGAAGAAUUAAUCCCGUUCAGGACAAGUGAGCACAAUUAAACUCUGAUUGCCAAGCCGAUCAAUAACUUAUCAAAAUCUGUCCAAACAAACCAGGUACAUUUCGUGAGUCAGCGGUGUAGAUCACGCGUUCGCCAUUCCUCAAUAGUGCGAGAAGGAACGUCCCGUGCGGUGUCAUACCAGACGAAAGGUUGAGUAGGUCCCGAAUGUGUGCACGAACACAAAUAGCUAAUUUCCGCAAAUCUCCGCAGAUCGGAAAUCAUCGAACGACCGCAAGAGUUCGUCCGCGGAUAGCCAUCUGAGGGGCGAUUGCAAUUGAGGAGGACAACGCGUGAGACGAGAACCUAACCUCCAAACGGAGGGCAUUGAAGGUGCGGAAGACGACAUCAUUGUCGGAAGGCAGAAUCCAGGACGGAGAAACGCGAGCGUUGGGGAAACCACAUCGGGCUUGCACCUGCAUCGAACUAAGACGUCCGUCGGAGUGCCGACAAAUCACGUCCGUGGAAGGAAGUCACAGAGCAACAACGAAAACCCCCAGUAGGGGGUUUUCUUUCUUUAUAGAAUCUCGGCGUAGAAAACGGGGCCCGAGGCAUCGCUGGUGCAAAUCUAGACCUCGUUCCGAUCGAGCUGGCCGACAACCACGAUCAGACUAGCAAUACGCUAGGAAGGACGCGUCUGGAACCUGACGGAACCUGGCGGUCACGUACAGAGCAACCGAAGGUGCGGCGUGGUCGGGCUACGAGCAUACGGUCCCCAACGAGCUCCGUAGGCGAGGCGGGCCAGGCCGUUCCAGUCGUGCGUAGUGAAUGCUCAAGUCGAAGUUGGGUCUACCGGUGACCGUAACCACUUCAGUGCCUGUGCCCAACCGUAGACAGUCACGGGGGAACGUGACAAGAGGGACUCAGAACAGUCGGAAGGACGGUGCAAUUCGUGGUAUGGUGGUGCCGAGGUGCGUUGGCGGCGAUAUGUGAGUACGGAAAAGCAAAACAUGUAUACUGCCAAAUUACAAAUGUACAGUUAAGAGAGUAGGAGACAGGGCUAGUAGAAUAGGGUCCCGGCAAAAGGGGCGACAAAAUGUUGCGAGAAUAUAUGUGUUAAGAUGAUGCGAUUUGCGUUCACUUCAUUUGUUGGUGCACAUGCCUUUGUGUUUGGGUUUCGUUCCAAUUGAUUGCUUUGGCUAGCGGGGAAACUUCAACAAACUUUGCUGAAGAAAGUAUUGCGUUAACUCUUAACACACCCGAGAUAAUAGGCCACACCCCCAAAAUGCCGAAAUCCCAUAAGCUCUUAGUCUCCUAUAACGCUCACCCCUGUCUAGUAGGAGUUCGUUUAAUAGGAGUCCGUUUAAUAGGAAUUCGUUUAGUAAGAGACUCGA